rnacentral:rRNA from 1 species
GUGAGGAAUAUUGGUCAAUGGGCGCAAGCCUGAACCAGCCAUGCCGCGUGCAGGAAGACGGUCCUAUGGAUUGUAAACUGCUUUUAUUUGGGAAUAAACUCCGGUACGUGUACCGGCCUGAAGGUACCAAAUGAAUAAGCACCGGCUAACUCCGUGCCAGCAGCCGCGGUAAUACGGAGGGUGCAAGCGUUAUCCGGAAUCAUUGGGUUUAAAGGGUCCGCAGGCGGUCUUAUAAGUCAGUGGUGAAAGCCUACAGCUCAACUGUAGAACUGCCGUUGAUACUGUAGGACUUGAAUUCGAUCGAAGUGGGCGGAAUGUGACAUGUAGCGGUGAAAUGCUUAGAGAUGUCACAGAACACCGAUAGCGAAGGCAGCUCACUAGGUCUGGAUUGACGCUCAGGGACGAAAGCGUGGGGAGCAAACAGGAUUAGAAACCCCUGUAGUCC